UACGGAGGGUGCGAGCGUUGUCCGGAAUCACUGGGCGGAAAGGGCGCGUAGGUGGCGUCGCAAGUCAACGGUGAAAGCUCGACGCUCAACGUCGAGUCGGCCGUCGAGACUGCGAGGCUUGAGCACUGUAGAGGCAGAUGGAAUUCCGGGUGUAGCGGUGGAAUGCGUAGAGAUCCGGAAGAACACCGGUGGCGAAGGCGGUCUGCUGGGCAGUUGCUGACACUGAGGCGCGACAGCGUGGGGAGCAAACAGG
rnacentral:rRNA from 1 species